rnacentral:tRNA from 1 species
UUUUAAUUUAUAAUAGGAUUUUGAAAAUCUUUUUAGACAUAAGAUGUCAUUAAAAA